rnacentral:rRNA from 1 species
UACGUAGGGUGCAAGCGUUAAUCGGAAUUACUGGGCGUAAAGCGUGCGCAGGCGGUUGUGUAAGACAGAUGUGAAAUCCCCGGGCUCAACCUGGGAACUGCAUUUGUGACUGCAUCGCUGGAGUGUGGCAGAGGGGGGUGGAAUUCCGCGUGUAGCAGUGAAAUGCGUAGAGAUGCGGAGGAACACCGAUGGCGAAGGCAGCCCCCUGGGCUGACACUGACGCUCAGGCACGAAAGCGUGGGGAGCAAACAGG